rnacentral:rRNA from 1 species
AGCAGCCGCGGUAAUUCCAGCUCCAAUAGCGUAUAUUAAAGUUGUUGCAGUUAAAAAGCUCGUAGUUGAACUUCGGGAUCAAGGGAUCGGUCAUGCUUUUGUAUGUACUGGUCUUAUUGGUUCUCACCUUCUAAAGAACCAUAAUGUCAUUCAUUUGAUGUUAUGGGGAAUUAGGACUGUUACCUUGAAAAAAUUAGAGUGUUUAAAGCAGGCUUACGCUUGAAUACAUUAGCAUGGAAUAAUGAAAUAGGACAUCCGAUUCUAUUUUGUUGGUUUCUAGGAUCGAUGUAAUGAUUAAUAGGGAUAGUUGGGGGCAUUAGUAUUCAAUUGUCAGAGGUGAAAUUCUUGGAUUUAUUGAAGACUAACUACUGCGAAAGCAUUUGCCAAGGAUGUUUUCAUUAAUCAAGAACGAAAGUUAGGGGAUCGAAGACGAUCAGAUACCGUCGUAGUCUUAACCAUAAACUAUGCCGACUAGGGAUCGGAUGAUGUUAAUUUUUAAUGACUCAUUC